rnacentral:rRNA from 1 species
UACGUAGGGUGCGAGCGUUGUCCGGAAUUAUUGGCGUAAAGAGCUUGUAGGCGGUUUGUCGCGUCUGCCGUGAAAAUCCGAGGCUCAACCUCGGACUUGCGGUGGGUACGGGCAGACUAGAGUCCGGAAGAGGCGAGUGGAAUUCCCGGUGCAGCGGUGAAAUGCGCAGAUAUCGGGAGGAACACCAAUGGCGAAGGCAGCUCGCUGGGACGGUACUGACGCUGAGACGCGAAAGCGUGGGGAGCAACAGGG